AGUGAACGCUGGCGGUAGGCCUAACACAUGCAAGUCGAACGGCAGCACAGUAAGAUCUUGCUCUUACGGGUGGCGAGUGGCGGACGGGUGAGGAAUACAUCGGAAUCUACUUUUUCGUGGGGGAUAACGUAGGGACACUUACGCUAAUACCGCAUACGACCUACGGGUGAAAGCAGUGGAUCUUCGCACCUUGCGCGUUUGAAUGAGCCGAUGUCGGAUUAGCUAGUUGGCGGGGUAAAGGCCCACCAAGGCGACGAUCCGUAGCUGGUCUGAGAGGAUGAUCAGCCACACUGGAACUGAGACACGGUCCAGACUCCUACGGGAGGCAGCAGUGGGGAAUAUUGGACAAUGGGCGCAAGCCUGAUCCAGCCAUACCGCGUGAGUGAAGAAGGCCUUCGGGUUGUAAAGCCCUUUUGUUGGGAAAGAAAAGCAGCAGGUUAAUACCCCGCUGUUCUGACGGUACCCAAAGAAUAAGCACCGGCUAACUUCGUG
rnacentral:rRNA from 1 species